CACCUCUCUUGAUCACCUUCGUGCAAAGUCGUCGUCAAUAUCAAUCAAUCCCUUUUUCUUGUUACAGAACCUGGAGCUCAGAUUUUGAAUGAAGAGACUGAAAGAUGUGGUUUGAUGUAUAGCUAAAGCUUAUAUACACAAAAAACUGCACGAAGUUGUUUCCUUUCCUCCUUAGGAAUACUAAUUGUUAAUUUUACUAAUUAUGUGGGGAUUCCUUAUUUCCAACAAUAAAAUCCCAAUUAAAUUAGGAUUCAAAAUUUUCCAUAUGAAAAUUCUCUACACUUUGUCCUAUACACACACACACAUGCAGGCGCACAAAAGAGUUGUAUUGCAAGAAAGAAGAAUAAGCAACGCUCUCCAAGGUGGAAGGACUUUUUUUUGUCGAUUUUGUAGGUACGCAAUAAAUUGGGAACUCAAUGGAAAUUAAUACCAAGGAGGAGGAAGAGCAACCAACGCAGUGGAAAAAACCAGACCUUUUUCGACAUCUCAGAAUGGAGUUACCAUGUAAAAAACAUUCCAGAGUUGCAAGGUAAACUCUUGUGGGAUCAGUUUUGCCAACAUCACCUUAUGGAGGAAGUACUGAUUCACUAGGUGGAAGCAGAUCAAGCCCUUCGGUUUCAGGAAUCAAUACUUCAAAUUUUGUGUUACGAAGUGGCUAUACUUGCCAACAACUUUCUUGCUUGUUGAUCCAAGCCUGUGGUCUCUUACUAGCGCAGCUCCCUCCUGACUUUCAUGUGCAACUUUAUAUGGAGGCAUCGCGUAUAAUAAAAGAGAGCUGGUGGCUUACUGAUGGCAAAAGGUCACUUGGGGAACUGGACUCUGCUGUUGGCUAUGCUUUGUUGGAUCCAACAUGGGCUGCUCAGGACAACACCUCAACAGCCAUUGGUAACAUGAUCGCCCUGCUACAUUCUUUGUUUAGCAACCUCCCACGGGAAUGGCUAGAAAGAACACAGGCUAUCAUUAAACAUCUCAGGCCGCUAACAUCAGUUGCAAUGUUGAGGAUAGCAUUCCGUAUAAUGAGUCCAUUGCUCCCAAGACUUGCUAAUGCUCACACGCUCUUCAAUAAGGUAUAAAAGCUACUCAUUAGUUUCUAUCUCCUCUUAAAUGUUCACUAGGUGAGAUUGUGAUUAUGACAUGUCCAUGGCCAACUCGUUGUGCCUUGUUUACUCUGUGAUGAACUAUCCCACCAUGCUUGUACCAUGAAUUUCUUGAGUUGUUAAAUCUACAAAAUUUGUAACUAGGUAAAUAAGCUGAAAAAUGCUGGAGCUUUAGUUUUUCUGGUGCCAUAUCUUUAUCACUAAAGUCAUCAUACCUUGUGAUGGAGGACAGCUUAGGAUUAAUGUCCACAAAAGAUUCAUGUGAGCUAGGGUUAGUGCUUGUUGGAUUAGGUUUGUGUAGGAUUUGCUUAGACAAAAUAGGAUGGAACAGAACUGUUAACAGUAACUCCGAUACAGUAGCAGCAGACCUUCAAGGCAAGGAAGAAUAAUUGGGGGAAAAUAGAACAACAAGAGUUGGAAGAAAAACUCUAGGCUCCUAAGCUUCAAAAAAUCUUUGAACUCAAUUUUAUUUCAUAAUUCACCUCUAAGGUAAACAGCGUGAUUCUGUAAUUCUUUUCGGUCUAUUAAUAUGAUUUCUUUAUCUGAAAAAAGGAACAGCAAAAUAGAUGCAUAACUAAUCCUUACUUGACUGGGUGAGCAUUAGAAUAGGAAUAUAUACUAUUAAAGAUUGAGACACCAAAUUCCUAAGCAAGGCUAGGACCUUCUAGUAAAUCAAAAUUUCAAAUAUCCUUGUUGGAAUAUGCAGAACUUAUAGUUCUGCCCCUGCUUAAAAAAAUCACCCGUAACUUAGAACAUUAAACCCCAAACCAAGAAAUCUACACUUCUUGAUUGAUGAAUAACCAAUUGAUCGAGCCUUGGGUUUGAGGUUCAUUUUUUAGUUUGAAAAAAUAGCCACCCCAUCGCCUUAUGUAGAGUUGGCAAGUUGAUAGUGUGAUGUAGAAUGAUACGAGAUGCGUCUUGAAUUUGUUGACUCGACUUGCUCCAUGAAGUGACAGGGUAAAUUAAACAGGAAAUGAAAAAAAAAGAUGAAAAAGAAAAGGAGAGGAGAGAGGGAGAGGGAAUCCUGAUGGUUGCCAAGGUAUUGGGCUGAUAAGCCUUGACCAGUGCUGUUUUUCCUCUUAAUUUAGCAAAUCUGAUCUUAAGUUUUUAGGUAGAAAGUAGGUGGGGAUGUAAAUUUGAAUCAGAUGGUAGCAAGUAGAAGAUGCCAAUAGACAACAGAGGAUGAAUUGAGGAAGGACAGGUGAGAUGAAGAGAAUUGUUAGGAAAAUGACUUUCGAUGUGGAACAACCUUUACAUACUACCCAAGUCUGGUGAAAACACUAUACCCCAAUUUAAGAACAGGGUCUAUUGUAUCAGGUGCAUCAUUCUCCUUCACGUAAUAUGCUUUAUCUGAUUUGGUCUACACAAGGGUGGUUGUUUUUGGGAAGUGGGGGUAAAGACUAGAAACUAUUGAUUUACAAGACUGCUUUGGAUAAUCAUAUAUAAAAUUAUUAGGUCUUAAAGAACUUGAUUGCAGUGACCUGCGCACAAACACAGGAAUCCAUGUGAUUUUGUCUUAGGGCUUGCAUCAAUGAAAAUGACGAAAUCUUGUUAUAUUACAAAGGGGGAAGAUCAAAUGCAAUAAUUGUUACCUGAAUCUGGUGAACCCCAUGUGCGAAAAGACAAGAAAAAACACAUUAAUAGCCAAAAGGGAGGAAUCCCAGCUGCUAAUCACAUUAUCACUGUAGACAUCAUGCAAUUUUCCAUUUUAUUACCCCCAGUUUUUCAUGGCUAUAUCAUGAAGUAAGUCAGAUAAAGGAAUUGAAGGCACGGCAUUGCAGUCUUUUGUCAAUGAUGAUGAUUUUAUGAAUCUUGGACUUUUAUUUUCUAUAUGGUGCUUGAAGUCUGAGUGAAACUUUUGUUGGUUUCUUUUAUCUUAUACAUGGUGGCGCCCCUUUGUUGCCUUCCAGCAUAUAUUAAUUUUUCACUUGUGAAGAGGAGCAAAAAAAAAAAGGCAAGAAUCAUGAUGGUCACACACAAAUUUGACCAUAAGAACCUUGCCUUUUUUCAAAUUAUUUUCGUCGUUCUGCCAAGUCAAUUAACAGUUUUGAAAUCCUUGUUUCACCAUGAGGACAUUGCCUUCUGAAUAUUCUCUUACUGGUUUGGGUUCAUAAUUCCCUUUUAUGUUUGAUUUUUCUCGACCAUCUUUUUUCAGACCCUCUCGUUGCUUUUAAAUACAAUGGUUGAUGUUUUUGGGAGGAGUUCACAGACAUCAACUGCUGUUGAAGCAUCAGAAAUUGCAGAUCUCAUUGACUUUCUGCGAGUGCAAGCUUCUUGGAACUUUCUUUUAUAUGCUUUGAAAUUCUAUGUGUUCAAAGAAUUUACUUUAACAAAACUCUUGUGUGUGUCAGCCAUCAUGUUGUCCAUUAUGAAGGGCAGGGAGGUCCUGUCCAGCCUAACAGCAAGCCUAAAUCAGAGGUUCUUGCCCUUUGUGGGAAGGCAGCAGAAAGUCUACGUCUAGAUUUACAGCAUCUUCUUUCCCACUUGAAACCUGACACGAAUUCUUCCAUAUAUGCUGCCACUCAUCCAAAGCUGGUCCAGGAUCCCCCAUGUCCUUUGGGUUUAAGCAUUCUUCAUGAGCCGAUCAUGAGAUGGCUAUACCCUCUUAAUUGAACUAGCUCUAUAUCCUCUGGGUUCUUCAUACAGCAGAUUAAUUUUGACAUGUUAUAAAUAUCUUUAUAUAAUAAAUAUGAAUAGAUUAAUUUA